rnacentral:rRNA from 1 species
GAUGAACGCUGGCGGCGUGCCUAAUACAUGCAAGUCGAGCGAACGGACGAGAAGCUUGCUUCUCUGAUGUUAGCGGCGGACGGGUGAGUAACACGUGGAUAACCUACCUAUAAGACUUGGAUAACUUCGGGAAACCGGAGCUAAUACCGGAUGAUAUUUUUAACCGCAUGGUUCAAAAGUGAAAGACGGUCUUGCUGUCACUUAUAGAUGGAUCCGCUCUGCAUUAGCUAGUUGGUAAGGUAACGGCUUACCAAGGCAACGAUGCAUAGCAGACCUGAGAGGGUGAUCGGCCACACUGGAUCUGAGACGCGGUCCGGACUCCUACGGGAGGCAGCAGUAGGGAAUCUUCCGCGAUGGGCGAAAGCCUGACGGAGCAACGCCGCGUGAGUGAUGAAGGUCCUCGGAUCGUAAAACUCUGUUAUUAGGGAAGAACAUAUGUGUAAGUAACUGUGCACAUCUUGACGGUACCUAGUCAGAAAGCCACGGCUAACUACGUG